CUACGUGCCAGCAGCCGCGGUAAUACGUAGGUCCCGAGCGUUGUCCGGAUUUAUUGGGCGUAAAGCGAGCGCAGGCGGUUUGAUAAGUCUGAAGUUAAAGGCUGUGGCUCAACCAUAGUUCGCUUUGGAAACUGUCAAACUUGAGUGCAGAAGGGGAGAGUGGAAUUCCAUGUGUAGCGGUGAAAUGCGUAGAUAUAUGGAGGAACACCGGUGGCGAAAGCGGCUCUCUGGUCUGUAACUGACGCUGAGGCUCGAAAGCGUGGGGAGCGAACAGGAUUAGAUACCCUGGUAGUCCACGCCGUAAACGCUGAGUGCUAGGUGUUGGAUCCUUUCCGGGAUUCAGUGCCGCAGCUAACGCAUUAAGCACUCCGCCUGGGGAGUACGACCGCAAGGUUGAAACUCAAAGGAAUUGACGGGGGCCCGCACAAGCGGUGGAGCAUGUGGUUUAAUUCGAAGCAACGCGAAGAACCUUACCAGGUCUUGACACCCCGAUGCUAUUUCUAGAGAUAGAAAGUUA
rnacentral:rRNA from 1 species